AUAACGACUCUCGGCAACGGAUAUCUCGGCUCUCGCAUCGAUGAAGAACGUAGCAAAAUGCGAUACUUGGUGUGAAUUGCAUAAUCCCGUGAACCAUCGAGUUUUUGAACGCAAGUUGCGCCAGAAGCCAUUCGGUUGAGGGCACGUCUGCCUGGGCGUCUCGC
rnacentral:rRNA from 1 species